CUCUAGUCGGCCUCUGGAGGUCUGCAGCUGGGUUAUUUUACCUUUGAAACGGACGACACCUGCCCCGUGCACCCCAGCGGCUCCUCCACACGGAGAGAUGGUGUCAGUCAAAGGCCGUCUAGAUGACGAGUUUAUGAAAUUGUUCCUGGCCCGUGCCGGGCACGACCUUGCAGAGAGCCCAGAAGAUGAAACCCCAGCCCUGCCAGGAGCUCACCUGCUAAUUAGGAGGACAACGAAUCACCUCACCUCCCUAGACUUUGCUUCUCCUUUAUUCAGUGAGGGAUUGGACUAGCUGGUCCUUGAGGACUUUUCAGAAAGUCUGGUUCUGGGAGAUGACCAAUGGGAUCAUCUUAUGCUAUGAGCUUUCCUGGAAUGACAGGUAAUGGAGAGUGAGGAGAUUUUACCUGAUAUGGUCCUGUUUGCACCAUCAGCCAGCAACCUUUCUGGGAAGCGUGCUUAUUAUGUACCAACAUAAAAGCUUGAAUAUAAGGUUUAUUUAGCCAAAGUUGAGGACACGCUGGGUCCCUGCACUGCCUUCUUCUCUGUCGGUCUCCUGAAAGCCUCUGCUUAAGGAGGUCUCCGUGGCCAUCUUUAGCAUCUCAGAGUGAAUUAAAUCCCCCUUUCUAAGGGCAUUUUCCUGUGAAGCUUUAUUCUCUGUGACAUAAGGGGAGAGGGAUUUUUAGAGAACCUGGGGUGGCGGGGGCUUUAGAGGAGAGGGGGGAUUCU
rnacentral:lncRNA from 1 species